rnacentral:rRNA from 1 species
GAGUUUGAUCCUGGCUCAGAACGAACGCUGGCGGCAGGCCUAACACAUGCAAGUCGAGCGCACCUUCGGGUGAGCGGCGGACGGGUUAGUAACGCGUGGGAACGUGCCCAGAUCUAAGGAAUAGCCACUGGAAACGGUGAGUAAUACCUUAUACGCCCUUCGGGGGAAAGAUUUAUCGGAUUUGGAUCGGCCCGCGUUAGAUUAGAUAGUUGGUGGGGUAACGGCCUACCAAGUCUACGAUCUAUAGCUGGUUUUAGAGGAUGAUCAGCAACACUGGGACUGAGACACGGCCCAGACUCCUACGGGAGGCAGCAGUGGGGAAUCUUGGACAAUGGGGGCAACCCUGAUCCAGCCAUGCCGCGUGAGUGAUGAAGGCCUUAGGGUCGUAAAGCUCUUUCGCCAGGGAUGAUAAUGACAGUAUCUGGUAAAGAAACCCCGGCUAACUCCGUGCCAGCAGCCGCGGUAAUACGGAGGGGGUUAGCGUUGUUCGGAAUUACUGGGCGUAAAGCGCGCGUAGGCGGAUUGGAAAGUUGGGGGUGAAAUCCCGGGGCUCAACCCCGGAACUGCCUCCAAAACUAUCAGUCUAGAGUUCGAGAGAGGUGAGUGGAAUUCCGAGUGUAGAGGUG